AUGAUAGAUGUAGCGAUUGCUUCACUAACCAAAAGAUUUGAGGAUUUGAAGUCAUUUGAAAGUAUAUUUGGUUUCUUGUUCAACUCCAAAAAGUUGAAGUCUUUGGAUGAUAAAGAACUUACAGAAUGUUGCACUAAAUUUUCAAAUACGUAUUCUCAUGGUAGCUCGUCAGAUGUUAAUUUAGAUGAUUUCUGUUCUGAACUAAGAGUGCUUCAAAUGACUUUACCGAAUAGAUUAAUGUCAGCAGAUGAGAUUUUUGAUUUUGUUAGAGCUGCAGAUUGCUAUCAAAAUGUUUCCAUUGCUUAUCGAAUCCUCUUAACUGUUCCUGUUACUAUAGCAUCUGCUGAAAGAAGUUUUUCAAAACUAAAAUUACUAAAGAACUAUUUGAGAUCAACUAUGUCACAAGAGAGAUUGAAUGGCUUGGCCAUGUGCUGUAUUGAGAAAGAUAUGUUGGACAACAUUGAUCUUGACACUAUUAUUAGUGAUUUUGCCUCUAAAAAUGUGGCUCCUGAUGUUUGCUGA
rnacentral:rRNA from 1 species